rnacentral:rRNA from 1 species
CCUACGGGUGGCAGCAGUGGGGAAUAUUGGGCAAUGGAGGAAACUCUGACCCAGCAACGCCGCGUGAAUGAUGAAGGUCUUCGGAUUGUAAAGUUCUUUUCUCAGGGAAGAAGAAAGUGACGGUACCUUAGGACUAAGCCUCGGCUACCUACGUGCCAGCAGCCGCGGGAAUACGUACGAGGCGAGCGUUAUCCGGAAUGACUGGGCGUAAAGGGUGCGUAGGUGGUUUGGCAAGUUAGUAGCGUAACUCCAAGGCUCAACCUUGGAACUACUACUAAAACUGUUGGACUUGAGUGCAGGAGGGGCAACCGGAAUUCCUGGUGUAGCGGUGGAAUGCGUAGAUAUUAGGAGGAACACCAGUGGCGAAGGCGGGUUGCUGGACUGUAACUGACGCUGAGGCACGAAAGCGUGGGGAGCAAACAGGAUUAGAUACCCUUGUAGUC